rnacentral:rRNA from 1 species
UACGAAGGUGGCAAGCGUUACUCGGAAUUAUUGGGCGUAAAGCGCGUGUAGGUGGACUUUUAAGUCAGAGGUGAAAUCCUGAAGCUUAACUUCAGAAUUGCCUUUGAAACUAGAAGUCUUGAACUUGGUAGAGGAUGGUGGAAUACCCAGUGUAGAGGUGAAAUUCGCAGAUAUUGGGUGGAACAUCAGUGGCGAAGGCGACCAUCUGGACCAUAGUUGACACUGAGACGCGAAAGCGUGGGGAGCAAACGGG